rnacentral:misc_RNA from 1 species
GAAAUGCGAUAAGUAAUGUGAAUUGCAGAAUUCAGUGAAUCAUCGAAUCUUUGAACGCACCUUGCGCUCCUUGUUAUUCCUUGGAGCAUGCCUGUUUGAGUAUCAUGAAAUCUUCAAAGUAAAUCUUUUGUUAACUCAAUUGGUUUCUACUUUGGUAUUGGAGGUCUUUGCAGCUUCACACCUGCUCCUCUUUGUUCAUUAGCUGGAUCUCAGUGUUAUGCUUGGUUCCACUCGGCGUGAUAAGUUAUCUAUCGCUGAGGACACUGUAAAAGGUGGCCAAGGUAAAUGCAGAUGAACCGCUUCUAAUAGUCCAUUGACAUGGACAAUACUUUUAUGAUCUGAUCUCAAAUCAGGUAGGACUACCCGCUGAACUUAAGC